GAAACCCUAACUACACACUCAUCUCCUCCGCCGGAAAAUCAGAUGCUCCGUUUAAUCGCCGGCGCGGAGGACAACACUACACCUUUACAACUCCGAACUACGAUUCCUUUUCAGAUUUGCAACUAAAAUCCUAACAAAACAAUCUCAAACCCUAGAAAUUUGACACUGAAAAACCUCAAAUUCAUUUUCUUCUUCGACAGCUUACCGAUGCCUCCGUCGUACCUUCAACCUAGACGACGGAGACUGGCGUAAAACGGUAAACCACAACAAAAGGCCAUAGAUAUGCUACUAAAUCAGACCAAAUUCGGUUUCUAUUACAGAAUCGGAGAAGAAGUGGAUUCAACAAAUAGAUCGAAAAUUUGGAAAAAAGACCACAAAUAUUUGGAAAAACUAACUGAUGAGAUUAGUGUCCUCACACAAAGUUCAUUUAUGGAAUAUUUUUCUCAAUUGCAUUCGGAAAUAUAGUUGAUAGACUCGAUUCAAGUUACCAACUUUGUGACUAUUGACAAAAAAUUUUUAGAACACUAUUAGGUUUCCUAUUUAGCAAAAUCAUUGCAUAAAUGAAGAUUUUAGUGAAUUUCAGAAUGUGUAUAAGGCUUCUGUUGAUAGUGCUGGGAAAUAAAGACUACAUAAUCAUCUACUUCAAAUAGAAAGUUAAUGGAGGUUAAACUAUUAUGCUUUUUAAUUAAAAAAAAAUACUUACACUUGUUUAAUGACAGGAAAAAAACUGAAAGACAAUGAAAUAUGCAAGAAGAAGAAGAAGGAAAAAACGAAGUAGCAGUCGUUCAUCAAGCCAAUCAGAGGAAAUGAUCCCAAUAGAUUGCAAAUAGAAGUGACAAAAAAGGCAAAUCAUUGAACAGAAAUUGUAAAAUGAGUUGCAGGAACUUCUUGAUCCAAAAUAUGAAUGAGAGAUAGCACUCAAGAUUUCACAGAUGAGUUGCAUCACGGCAAUGACAAAUACAGAAAAAGGAAAGAGAAGGAAAAGAAAAGCGGCCUCUCUCUCUUCACUCUACAAUCAUUAUAGAGAGAAGAUAACAUUGCAAGCAUAGGCGGCUACAAUACCUACUCUACUGCAUCAAGACAUCACCAUAUUAAAAAAAAGGAAUUAAUUGCAUUGGAAAGAGCUGAGAAGAUAAUCUGGAAGAAUAAAAAAUAUAUAUAUAUAUAUUGUGUAAUAUAGUAGUAGUAUUUUCUUACAAAAGCCUAUGCCAGUAUAAACACAUAGGCUGCACCCUACCCCCACACAAUUCUCGAUACAUACAAAGAAAACUGAUAUAAGUUCAACUGGACUUUACAAUAAGAUCACAAAUUUUAAGCUAAGAUGCU